rnacentral:lncRNA from 1 species
UCAUCGGAAGCAGCACCGUCUCGUCGUUCGAGGCCAGGACAACGGAGUUGAGCCCGCUCUCGCUAGUCCCGACGUCCUCCGCCGUGAACUCGGCGAACUCGUGGAAGCCGGUGAAGCCUUUCACGUACUCCACGGCGGCGGCGAGGUCGGGGACGUUGCCGACGGCGUGGUCGAGGCGGCGGAGGCCGAAGUCGAGCGGGAAGGACGACGGCACCGGCUCAAAACCGGGGAGGAACCAAAGGUCCGGGUUCGGGUCGGAUCUCUGGGCCGGGUCUUUGUAGCUGACGUAGCGGAGAACGACGUCGCCGUAGAGAUGGACCUCGGCGAUGGUGACGCGGUUGUCGAGGAGGAUCGGCGGUGACGCGGGCUUGGCGCCGUGGGAGACGCUGGCGUGGAAGGCGAGGUCGGCGUCGGCGACUUGGAUGGCGACGGCGCGGACGGCGAGGCCGUGUUUGGCGGAGAAGGCGCGGGAGGCGGAGUGGUCGAAGCUGGGGAUGGAGGCGGAGGAGGUGGGCCCAGAGAGAGAAGGGGAGUAAGGGGCGGAGAAGAGGAAGGAGAGGUCGGCGGAGCGGAGGAGGUAGGAGGCGUGGGAGUGGUUGCCGGUGGAGAGGUCAGACUUGGCGACCAAGGGCAUGCCGAGGCCCCAGGAGAAGCGGAGGGCGGUGUUGGUGGCGUCGGUGCACCAGAACUCGAUGUGGUGGAAGCGGGUGACGGCGAACCGGUCGGAGCGGGGGUUGGAGCGGACGAAGUUGGAGAAUCCGACGAGGUUGAACUGGGUCGUCUCGGUUUGGUGGCCCAUUGUGGUGUGCUGACUGUGGUGAGGUCCGUGAGGAGGGUAUACUGGUAUGGUACCUAUAGUAGUAGUGACUGAGAGGGUGGACUUUUGGAGGGAAGCGGUGGGGACACGUAGACGUGGAUUGGGGUUUUAUCUUGUGUGGGGACACGUGGCGGGGUAUGGGUGGAGGGGGAGGAGGGGUUUUGAGUGACGCAACUCCAUACCGGCUAGGGGAUCAUGGAGGAGGAAAAACUGAAGUUUGGGACUUGUGUGUGUUUGGGGUUUUCCUGAGAGGGAAAGGAUAGAAUACGGGGAGAACGAAUGCGAUGGUUUUCUAUUGAGACGUGUGG